UACAGAGGUCUCAACCGUUGUUCGGAUUCAUUGGGCGUAAAGGGUGCGUAGGCGGUCGCGCAAGUCGGAUGUGAAAUCUCAGGGCUCAACCCUGAAACUGCAUUCGAUACUGCGUGGCUAGAGUGCUGGAGAGGAGACUGGAAUUUACGGGGUAGCAGUGAAAUGCGUAGAUAUCGUAAGGAAGACCAGUGGCGAAGGCGAGUCUCUGGACAUUUCCUGACGCUGAGGCACGAAAGCCAGGGGAGCAAACGGG
rnacentral:rRNA from 1 species